UCGAGAAUCAUUCACAAUGCACGAAAGUGUGAUGAUGCGACGCCGCGUGAAGGAUGAAGGCCCUAGGGUUGUAAACUUCUGUCAGAAGGAAAGAACAGUUCCGUGCGUAAUAUGCACGGAAUUUGACGGUACCUUCAGAGGAAGCCACGGCUAACUCUGUGCCAGCAGCCGCGGUAAUACAGAGGUGGCAAGCGUUGUUCGGAUUUACUGGGCGUAAAGGGUGCGUAGGCGGUUUCGUGUGUCAGAUGUGAAAGCCCAUGGCUCAACCAUGGAAUUGCAUUUGAAACUGCGGAACUCGAGUAUCGGAGAGGUAGAUGGAAUUCUAGGUGUAGCGGUGAAAUGCGUAGAUAUCUAGAAGAACACCAGCGGCGAAAGCGAUCUACUGGACGAAUACUGACGCUGAGGCACGAAAGCCAGGGGAGCGAAGA
rnacentral:rRNA from 1 species